rfam:Triticum aestivum genome assembly, contig: Triticum_aestivum_CS42_TGACv1_scaffold_250587_3DL
UGUAUACUCCCUCCGUCCCAAAUUACUUGUCUUAGAAUUGUCUAGAUAUGGAUGUAUCUAGACACGUGUCUAGAUACAUCCAUAUCUAGACAAUUCUAAGACAAGUAAUUUGGGACGGACGUAAUGUUUG